UAAGGGCGCACGGUGGAUGCCUUGGCACUAGAAGCCGAUGAAGGACGUUACUAACGACGAUAUGCUUUGGGGAGCUGUAAGUAAGCUUUGAUCCAGAGAUUUCCGAAUGGGGAAACCCAGCAUGAGUUAUGUCAUGUUAUCGAUAUGUGAAUACAUAGCAUAUCAGAAGGCACACCCGGAGAACUGAAACAUCUUAGUACCCGGAGGAAGAGAAAGAAAAUUCGAUUCCCUUAGUAGCGGCGAGCGAAACGGGAAGAGCCCAAACCAACAAGCUUGCUUGUUGGGGUUGUAGGACACUCUAUACGGAGUUACAAAGGACGACAUUAGACGAAUCAUCUGGAAAGAUGAAUCAAAGAAGGUAAUAAUCCUGUAGUCGAAAAUGUUGUCUCUCUUGAGUGGAUCCUGAGUACGACGGAGCACGUGAAAUUCCGUCGGAAUCUGGGAGGACCAUCUCCUAAGGCUAAAUACUCUCUAGUGACCGAUAGUGAACCAGUACCGUGAGGGAAAGGUGAAAAGCACCCCGGAAGGGGAGUGAAAUAGAACCUGAAACCGUGUGCUUACAAGUAGUCAGAGCCCGUUAAUGGGUGAUGGCGUGCCUUUUGUAGAAUGAACCGGCGAGUUACGAUUUGAUGCAAGGUUAAGCAGUAAAUGUGGAGCCGUAGCGAAAGCGAGUCUGAAUAGGGCGUUUAGUAUUUGGUCGUAGACCCGAAACCAGGUGAUCUACCCUUGGUCAGGUUGAAGUUCAGGUAACACUGAAUGGAGGACCGAACCGACUUACGUUGAAAAGUGAGCGGAUGAACUGAGGGUAGCGGAGAAAUUCCAAUCGAACCUGGAGAUAGCUGGUUCUCUCCGAAAUAGCUUUAGGGCUAGCCUCAAGUGAUGAUUAUUGGAGGUAGAGCACUGUUUGGACGAGGGGCCCCUCUCGGGUUACCGAAUUCAGACAAACUCCGAAUGCCAAUUAAUUUAACUUGGGAGUCAGAACAUGGGUGAUAAGGUCCGUGUUCGAAAGGGAAACAGCCCAGACCACCAGCUAAGGUCCCAAAAUAUAUGUUAAGUGGAAAAGGAUGUGGCGUUGCCCAGACAACUAGGAUGUUGGCUUAGAAGCAGCCAUCAUUUAAAGAGUGCGUAAUAGCUCACUAGUCGAGUGACACUGCGCCGAAAAUGUACCGGGGCUAAACAUAUUACCGAAGCUGUGGAUUGUCCUUUGGACAAUGGUAGGAGAGCGUUCUAAGGGCGUUGAAGCAUGAUCGUAAGGACAUGUGGAGCGCUUAGAAGUGAGAAUGCCGGUGUGAGUAGCGAAAGACGGGUGAGAAUCCCGUCCACCGAUUGACUAAGGUUUCCAGAGGAAGGCUCGUCCGCUCUGGGUUAGUCGGGUCCUAAGCUGAGGCCGACAGGCGUAGGCGAUGGAUAACAGGUUGAUAUUCCUGUACCACCUAUAAUCGUUUUAAUCGAUGGGGGGACGCAGUAGGAUAGGCGAAGCGUGCGAUUGGAUUGCACGUCUAAGCAGUAAGGCUGAGUAUUAGGCAAAUCCGGUACUCGUUAAGGCUGAGCUGUGAUGGGGAGAAGACAUUGAGUCUUCGAGUCGUUGAUUUCACACUGCCGAGAAAAGCCUCUAGAUAGAAAAUAGGUGCCCGUACCGCAAACCGACACAGGUAGUCAAGAUGAGAAUUCUAAGGUGAGCGAGCGAACUCUCGUUAAGGAACUCGGCAAAAUGACCCCGUAACUUCGGGAGAAGGGGUGC
rnacentral:rRNA from 1 species